rnacentral:rRNA from 1 species
ACGCUCGACACCUACGGGAGCAGCAGUGGGGAAUAUUGCACAAUGGGGGAAACCCUGAUGCAGCAACGCCGCGUGAAGGAAGACGGUUUUCGGAUUGUAAACUUCUGUUCUUAGUGAAGAUAGUGACGGUAGCUAAGGAGCAAGCCACGGCUAACUACGUCNCGNNCGCGGUAGUAUNGNGGCGNGNGAGAG